CCGCCUCGCCCGGCUAAUGUUUUUGUAUUUUUAGUAGAGACGGGGUUUCAGCGUGUUAGCCAGGAUGGUCUCAAUCUUCUGACCUCGUGAUCCUCCCGCCUCGGCCUCCCACAGUGCUGGAAUUACAGGCGUGAGCCACCGCGCCCGGCCAAUAUCCAGUUUCAGCGGCUUAAGUUGGACAGAUGUCUGCUGAAAAACCAGUUUGCAAAACUGUGUAUGACUCAUGUUUACUUGGCGUUGGAUAAUAUUAUCUAUGGAUGGUGAGGCGUAGGAAAGAGUGGGCAUAUUUUCAGCACACCAGUGAUUGGGCACAGGUCUCUCCCUGUGAGAAGAGGUAAGCUUUUUGUUGUUGUUGUUGCCCCAGGAAGAAGGACAGACUACAUACUCAGGUGGAGACGAGUUUUGGCUGAAAGAUAGAAUGGUUUUGUUUGUUUUUUGAGACAGGGCCUUGCUCUAUUGCCCAGGUUAGAGUACCGUAGCGCGAUCACAGCUCACUGCAGCCUUGAUCUCCAUGGCUCAAGCAAUCCUCUCACCUCAGCCUCCCCAAUAGCUGAGACUACAGGUGUGUGCCACCACGUCCAGCUAAUUUUUUAAUUUUUAUUUUUGUAGAGACAGGGUCUCACUGUGUUGCCCUGACUGUCCUCAAACUCCUGGGCUCAAGCGAUUCUCCUGCCUCGGCCUCCCAAAGUGUUGAGAUUACAGUCAUGAGCCACGCUUGGCAAG
rnacentral:lncRNA from 1 species